rnacentral:misc_RNA from 1 species
UCCGAGUUGACCCCGGCAGUCUCCCAUGAGUCCCCAGCACCCCGAAGGGCCUGCUGGCAACAUGGAACGAGGGUUGCGCUCGUUGCGGGACUUAACCCAACAUCUCACGACACGAGCUGACGACAACCAUGCACCACCUGUGUACCGACCUUGCGGGGCACCCAUCUCUGGAUGUUUCCGGUACAUGUCAAGCCUUGGUAAGGUUCUUCGCGUUGCAUCGAAUUAAUCCACAUGCUCCGCCGCUUGUGCGGGCCCCCGUCAAUUCCUUUGAGUUUUAGCCUUGCGGCCGUACUCCCCAGGCGGGGAACUUAAUGCGUUAGCUGCGGCACAGAUCUCGUGGAAUGAGACCCACACCUAGUUCCCAACGUUUACGGCGUGGACUAC